rnacentral:RNase_P_RNA from 1 species
ACUGUAAACUAAGCUAUCGUUCCCGUUUCGGCGGGAUAGGAAAGUCCGGACAGCAUAGAGCAACGUACCGGUGAAGAGCCGGGUGUUCCGCCUCAGGCGGAGCAACAGAAAGUGCCACAGAAAAUAACUACCCACCUACGCCAAGGCUAUGGUGGGAAAAGGUGAAAACGUAGGGUAAGAGCCUACGGGUUAUAACAGCAAUGUUAUAGCGGGGUAAACCUUACGUGCUGAAAUGCCACAUAUACCGUCGCCUGAGAACGGCUCGUUCGAUGACGGAGGGUAGGCAGAUUGAUCCUUCAGCGUAAGUUGUUGGACAGAUAAAUGAUAGCUCUCGACAAAAUCCGGCUUACAGGUUUACAGUAUUU